UUUGAAUCAAUAACGUAAUCUCAUCGAAGGUGUGUUGACUUCGAUGCAUCCGCCAAGGCCUUCAAACCAUGAAGUCAAAAAGCGCCGCACAGGACGCCGCCGCGGGCUAUGCACCGCAAAUUGUGGUCACUCACUCACUUACGGACGACCUUUGUAGGACACAAGCGCAGUAGGCUGCUGAUUGAAAGGAAACCAGAAAUACUUGCGGAUUGACGCGCCUGAUGGUAGUACAUACUACAUAGAUUCAGUGGAAAUCCAGAGGACAAUGACUAUUACUACUCAUCACUGGGCAUAUCCAAUAGUUCUUCUUCGUUUUUAGUUGGGUAAUUGAAGACAGUAAAACCAUUUACUUUGCAAAUCAAAGCAAUUGGGCUUCAUUUCUAAACUAAAAAAAACCUUCACUUUUUCUUUGGCUCGCUCUUUUUGUUGUUGUUGUUUUGUUAAUAUGAAACCUAUUUUUGAUAGGAUGGAUUGAAAUUGAUGAAAUAAGUGUCAGGCCUGCUUCGUAUGAUCAAAAGAGAAACAAAGUGUCUUAAAAUUUUACUGUGGAAAAGUUUUACCACACACACCUACGCACGAGACUUUAGCUCCUAUUGUCGAUAUAAUCUCUGUACGACUGAAUGACUCAAUACUUUAUGUGUAGUGGUUCUUAAAGACUAAAAAUAGUACACCAGUUCUCUUAUGUUGUCAGAAAGGGUUUGCUCUUGCUCUUGUUUUUAAUGUAAAGGGCUCCUCCCUCAAAGAAGCUGAUGCUAUUUUUUUUUUUUUUCUUGACAGAAGGUCCAUAUUUGGGGACUAUGCAAACAUCAGAAUAAAUAAAAAAUCCCUGCUGUUGAAAAUAGGUGUGGAUAUCUGACAUUCCAACUGCUUUCCUCUCCUGAGAUAAAUGUCUCUGCAGAUUGGAGUGCAAACCUAACCAAAGUGGCGUGUGUGUGUCUUGCAACGUUGAUCUUUGUAAGAAACCAUUUACAUGCAUACCUUACUUCAAACUUGCUCAAUCCUUAAUCCAAAUUUUUUUGUAAAUGAAAGAUUUGGGAAUUAUGUUUAAUUUCUAUCCUAUCCCAGUGAAAGCUAUAACAAGAAAAUACUUGUGUGUAGUGUACACUAAUACCUGAAUAUAUGUGUACGAUUGCAGAAAGAAAUUGUAUUCUUGUUAUUCAUUAAGACCACAAUGAGGUUAUAUACUAAAUAUACAAAAUAUUAAAAUAAAUUUAAUUGGUGCCUUUUUAGAACUGGUAUUUCAUAUGUAUGUAAGUUUAAUUGAUUUUAUUCAUAUUUUAAUUAGUGAGAAAUGAUUGUGCAGAUGGACUGCUCAGGGAAAUUAUAUCGGUUUUAUACAAGGAAAAAUAUGUGUGACAAGUUGUGGUCUGGAAAGAUUACAGAGCUUUCAGAAAAUGUCUUUGUGCACAAACUCA